GAUGAAGAACGUAGCGAAAUGCGAUAAGUAAUGUGAAUUGCAGAAUUCAGUGAAUCAUCGAAUCUUUGAACGCACAUUGCGCCCGCCAGUAUUCUGGCGGGCAUGCCUGUUCGAGCGUCAUUACAACCCUCAGGCCCCCGGGCCUGGCGUUGGGGAUCGGCGGAGCCCCCCGUGGGCACACGCCGUCCCCCAAAUACAGUGGCGGUCUCGCCGCAGCUUCCAUCGCGUAGUAGCUAACACCUCGCGACUGGAGAGCGGCGCGGCCACGCCGUAAAACACCCAACUCUUCUGAAGUUGACCUCGAAUCAGGUAGGAAUACCCGCUGAACUUAAGCAUAUCAAUAAGCGGAGGA
rnacentral:misc_RNA from 1 species